UUUUUCUGAAAAGUCUCUCUUUUCUCUUCUCUCUUUCUUCCUCUGUGAUUUCUCCAUCCCCCCUCUCGGUCCGACAAGAACACACACACACACACCCAUGCCCACACCUAUAACUCUUUUCUAACCCCGUGGUUGUGUUUUAGACGUCAAACCAUGAAGAAACGACCUCGGAGACAUUUCCCUAGUUUUCCAGCUAGCACCGCCCCUUUCGAGGCAAUUUCCGGCCAAACCACGGCGAUUUGGCCGGCGUGCAAGUUUUCCGGCGAGCACCGCUCCUUUCGAGGCAAUUUACGGCCAAACCACGGCGAGUUGGCCGGAGUUCAAGUUUCCGGCGACCUCAGUAACUUUCCAGGUGUUUUCCAGCCAAAACACGGCGAGUUAGACGUCAUGUGAGGGACGAUUAUCUGUGGCGUUUCCUUCUUCGCUAAAUGGCGUGGCUUUUCAACGGCGAAGACUUAGAAUCGAGGCAUACAAUUCCGACAUCCAGGCACUUCCGCAUCGACAUCUUCGAGUCAUUUCGGUUUUUUACACUCAAUAAAUGGCUUUCGUCACCCUCGGGUGUCAGCCAACACGUACCUAUCCUGGUAUUCGGGGAAUAUCGAGGUCGGGGCGUGUCAGGUACCAUUCCUUAUAAACCAUAGAUGGCUCUCCUCCUUAGCUGAUGUGGGACAAAGUGUGGCUCUAAUUUAAGCCACCAAAUUCUAACAAUCUCCAACUUAGCAUGAUUCGAUCCAUUGACAAAUUGACGUCUCAAGAUCCAAAUUCAAAUACAGCUCCACCUUGACCAAAUGGAACCAAAUUCCAAAUAAGCUCUUCAACUUCAAAUAUCGCGAGCUUCACCAGUCCCAAGCGUUGCCUGGGCUCUCCACCAAUCCCAAGCAUUGCUUGGGCUCUAAUACCACUCGUUGUACUUUUAUGCGCAAGCGGAAGUGAAUUUUAAUAAAGCGGCAAAUAUCAAUGUCGUAUGUGAAUGCUAAAACAAUCUCAAAAGAACAUAAAAGAUUUAUAUGGUUAGGUGCAAAGCCUACGUCCAUAGGCGAAACACGGCAAGGAAUUUCACUAAACAAACGAAGAUUACAAAAGAAUGUUUAAACUCUCACAACCCAAAUCCCACAAAUUACAAACUCUAAACCAAAUGAGUAGAGAACCCAAAACAAACGGAGAAGAUUCUUCCAAAUUGCUCUCUAACUCUGAAAUUGAUUGUCACCUAAUUGCCAAAACGAACGAGCCAUGAUUUUGCCACACACUCAUGACUCCAAAAUGGUGAACUCCACCCAAAACACAAUGAGAGAAACCUCUCUAAGCUAAUGGUGUUGGCACACAAAUCCUAACUAGAGAAUGUUAAUCCUAACCAGAAGUAAUUCCAAAUCCUAAUCAAAUAGGUAAUUAACAAUGAGAAUGUUAAUCCUAACAAUGAGAAUGUAAAUCCUAAUCAAAUAGGUAAUUAACAAUGAGAUUUAUAGUGCAUAUGACUUAGGUUACAAUGAGAGUGUUAAUCAUAACUAGAAGAUAUUCCGAAUCCUAAUCAAAUAGGUAAUUAACAAAAUCUCUCCAUCAAUCAAAAAAACCAACCAAGAAGUCGAAUCCAAACUCAAAUAAGACACCAAACGAAAUUGGUAACAUAUACCUAAUUUAUGCAUCAUCCUAAUUUUGAGCUGUAAAUCCCAACAAUGUCAAUAUCCUUCAUAACUAUGUUUUAUUUUGCAUGCCAUGAAGAGAAAUGCUAAGGAGACUCUUAAAAGUGAGACUUCCCAUGGACUCUCGCUAUCUCAUAGUUUUUGCACAAUAUUUUAUAAUGUUAGCACAGAAAUUGACGUUAAACUGUGAGAUGGUAUAAAGUCCAUGGAAAAUCUCACUUUGAGAGAAUCUCGUUAGCAUUUCUCUUACCAAGAAAUAUCUGACUAUACAUUCUUGAUUAUCCAACUAUUUGAGAAAAUUAUUAUCUUCUUCAAAUCCGUCUAAGACCUUUAUUUAUUAACAUUUCAAUUACUAUUAUAUCAAGCCCAUCUUUAUUAGAAUUAGGUUUUUGAGGUAAAUUUGCAUUUUCAAUGUUCUUUAGAACUACUAGCUAGUUAACGUCUAAUUAACUAGGUGCACCUCAUGAACCUUGUUCUUUUCUCUCUUGUUGAAAAAACAUCUCUAAGUUUUUUUUUGUUUUUUUUAUAGUGUCUUACCUUGAAUUUGUAUCUCAACCAUCCAAAUCUUUGAAAUACAAUUGGAUUUUACUUUUCUUUUUUAAUUUUUUAAAGAAAUCACUUUAUAAUAUUUGCUUCUUACCUUUUAGGGGUUAAAAUUAAGCUGUUAUAUCCAUAUUCUUGAAGUCUACUUAUACUUAUAGUAUGUUUGGAUGAAGAAAUUUAAGAUUACUAAGGAAUUUCAAAAUGAUGGAAAUUAAAAUGACAGGAUUUUAUUUUAUAGAAUUUGUGAAUUUUCUUGUUUGGU